CGCAGGAGGAGCAGGCAGAAACUACCCCUACCGAGACAAGAGCACAACCGGGAACACGUUCCUGAAUGAAGCUGACACAGAUCUUCUGUUGCAAAGUGGAACCUAAGGAUAACAACUACAAAUGACCACUCGAGCCAAGUAACUGAAAUAUCCAGAGACAAUGGCAGUAGAACAGGAUCCUGCAAGCAAAAGGUAAGGCUAAAGUGAGAAUGAAGGUUCCUCACCACAGAGCUCUGUGGGAAUUCUUACAACCUUUUCCUCAUUGUGUUUGACUUUUAUAAGGCUUAUUACAUAACAACAAUGCUAUCAACUCUUUAAUGAUAGCAAAAAUGUGCUCUUCUCAUCAGAAAAAAAAACAACAUAUGUAUUAGUUUUGACAGCUCUGGUUGGAUUUAUUUGGAGGCAGAAUGAGCUGUGGAAAAAACAGCGCUCUUUAGACAGUACUUAAUGUUAUGGUCGAACAUGAGGUUGAUAACACAUGACAGCAUCUACAACAUUACCUAUGAAAUUCAUCAGAAUAAUCAUUUCUGAACACUAGCUUGGGAAUUGAUCACUGCCAGAACAUGUUCCACAUGUGCACCUACCCACACGCUCCAAGGCUAGACAUGUCCUUGAAUGCUGCUACCUCACGGCCCGCAUGCUUAAACCUCAUAAGCUUGAGCUUACAGAGGGGUCAACAGCUCAGGAGCUGCCUUCAAAACUAGAGCAGCAGUGCAAGCUGUAAGGAGAGCAGUGAGCAGAUAUUGAGGGAGGCAGAUGGCUGGGCAAGGUCUCCCAAUAGGAAAAGUCUCAACUAGAAAGACUUCCUGGAGGGCAGAUGUCCAAGCACCAGGGCAGUGUGAGAGGAGGAAAUGAAUCUGCAAAGGUGGAAGAGAAGGAGGAAGAGGGACAGGCACAGCAGGAGAGGAGAGAAAGGGAAACACAGCAAGGAGACAGAGAUGAACUUGAAAGUGCAAGGCAAUCCUCUUUUCGGUUCACUAAUGACUGAGCUAAGAAGAAUAUAGCAACCAGAAGGAGCCAGCCCUGGCUCCCGAAGCAAUGUUGUAUGCCCCAACAUACAACCCAGGGCCCAAAAAGGGCUCUGAGCUGGCACCCAGCAGCCCUUAUUUCCAUGGCGUGCUCAAUGUAGGGAACUAUCUCCCUUUCACAUGCAGAGAAGAUAUAUCACAGGAGCUUUACAGUAAGGUACUUUUCACCUCCAUUCUGUACUUGGAAUAUUUGGGUUUUAUGUGCUAAAGCCUGCGGCCCAAAAGGGACAUCCCACAAAAGCCUGCGGCCCAAAAGGGACAUCCCACGAGCGGGAACUUGCAGAAGAUUAAAGAUUAAUCAUUAAUGCUGCUUUGCCAUGUAAGCAAUUUUGAGAAUUGGGAAUGCUUAUAACAUUACCUGUCACUAGUCAUCAUGUAUCAGCAUUGACUCGUCAUCUCUCAUACUAGGAGAGAUUGAAAAAAACUGGGAUUGUUUACUUGGGAAGGAUAGUGGUAGGUUGUUCAUAAUAAUGAAUAGUCUAAAGGAGACCAGUAAAGUCUACCUUCUCUGUUCCCUAACACAAGAAAAAUCAUUAGUGCUUUAGGACUUAAACCCUACUUUCACUACAGAGAUUGUAGGCUUGCUGCAUUUUCUUCAUUUCUGUCGGCAACAAGUUCUGAUUUGGUGUGGUAAUUCCUACCUUAUUGAUUCGUGAUGCAGUAACUCCCAGAAUCCCUGCAAUUAUAGAUACUUUAGAGACACCACAAGCAAAAGUCCCUAUACCAGAAAGCUGUUAGUCUAAUUAUUCAAACAUCAAAGCUGUUCUCAAACUUGUCAGAUAACCAUGCCAGUCAACCUAAAGAAACUGCCUGAAACUUUCAAAGUCACCUAAGGGGUUUGCUCCAAUAGCUCAUUAAUAGGGCAAAAGAUAUCCAUUAAUUUUAAUAGAAAAUCAAGUAUUUAGGUAUUCAGAUCACUCCGAGACAGGUUUCCAUCUUCUUUUUUUUAUGUUGAAAUUAAUCAUAUUAUUUAGAGGAACUUCCCUACAGUUUAUUAUAUAUUUCCUACCAUUGCUUUGCCUCCAGAGUGAUCAAAUUUGGUCCACCUAGGUUUUAGGUAUAAGCAGAAAUAGACACAAGUUUGAGAAGAAUCAGCAUCAUCGGGUAUACCAAUUUUUAUGCUGAAAGUAUCCAUCUGCUCUGAAAAAGUGGGUGAAUAUAAAGGAGCUAAGAUUGAGUCAUUAUUUUUUAAAAUUGCACCAUGCUAAUUAAAAUAUGACCUUCAUCUAAUUAUCAUGUCCACUUCCAGACUGCUAUAGCUCUAUAAAUGUGCAGGGUUUUCUAAUGAGCACAGCAUAAGAAGUGAAAAUGUGUUUCCCCAGGCAGGAUAUCAAACUGUUUCUGAAAAUCAAUGGGUUUUAGUCAUUUUAAAAUAAGGCUGUCAAACAAUGCCUUUAAACAGAACUUCCUGAAUUCACUUCCAGACAACUUGGACUUCAGUUUGGCAUAUAUCUUUAUGUAAGCAUAGAUGAUUGCAAAAGCAUGUUAAACUAUCAAUCAAAGCUAACUAGUACAUUUUCAAAAGGGUGCCAGUGUCACACAUUCAUGUGAAUAACAGGAAUGGCAGAUUCCUUUGGUAUAUUAGCAACAGUUUUGAGAUGCACAGCAGACAGUUAUUUUAUCAUAUGCAAAAUGUGUAUGUCUGCUUCGUACACUGAGAAUAUAAUAGUGAGGAAAAGCAGUUAUUGCUGUGGCUCUGUUAAUAAUCAUGAUCUCUCCAGCAGAAAAUACACAUGCACAAAGCUACCCAAGAAGGCUUAUGAUGGCGAACACUUUCUAACACUAACUUUUCUAUGGCACUAUCGUAUUUUCAAAUCAAAUGAAAAAAGAGCAAGUCAUUCUCUUCAGGGUAAACUGCCACUUUGUGAUUCCUCAUCACUUUCCUGAAGCACAUCCCAGGAGCACAGCACUUUCCAGGGUCACCACUUGCUCCCCAGAAGCAGCAUUUUGCAUCAUCCCCCUUCUCUGGGGGGACAGUUCAGCUGCUGAGAAACAGACUUAAGCUCUGCUUUCUCCUACUCCUCCUACCCACUUGCUUGAUAUGUUUUAGACUCUUGCAGGGUUUUUUUCUCUUUUUUUCUGCCUAAGUAGGCAUUCUUGCUAUAUAUGCUGAACAUGAGGCUGUGCUAAGGUUACUGAUGGAUUAAUGCAAGGGCAAGCCUUGAUUAGAGAACAGGUAACCUCGGCUUUGCAGCGUUCACAGUAACCAUCUCCUGGUCUGCUCACUAACACAAAUUUCUCAUUUCUUUUGCAUGGAAUUCACCACAUAACCACGGCCAGGCUGAGAAAGGCUUGUGAGAAUUUCCAAACUCCAACUGUUGCCCUGGGGGAGCUGAUAG